UAGGGAAGUCUUCCACAAUGGACGCAAGUCUGAUGGAGCAACGCCGCGUGAGUGAAGAAGGUCUUCGGAUCGUAAAACUCUGUUGUUAGAGAAGAACGCGAGUGAGAGUAACUGUUCAUUCGAUGACGGUAUCUAACCAGCAAGUCACGGCUAACUACGUACCAG
rnacentral:rRNA from 1 species